CGGGACGUGGCGCAGCCUGGUAGCGCAUUCCCUUGGGGUGGGAAAGGUCGCUGGUUCAAAUCCAGUCGUCCCGA
rnacentral:tRNA from 1 species